AAUUAGGAAAGCUAAAAAUGCAAAACUAAUAUCAAAAUAGGAUAGAGCUCGUCGAAACGAGAAUUUUGAUACAAAUUUCAAAAAUUUAGCCCAAAAUCGGACCGGAAAGGCCGAACCGGUUGAACCGGGGCCCAAACUGGGCCCGUGGGUCCAACCGGACCCAAACAUUUAAAUGAAACAGCAGCUCUCUUCUUCCUCAUUAGCUGCUGGACGCCAUAACAGAAAGGGAGAGGGAAGAAGAACCUUAACCCUCACCAUUCCUUCCAACUACCAUAACUUCCUCAUCCGGGCUCCGAUCACCGCACCGUUCGCGGCCACGCGCUCAGCGUGUCGAGCUCUACCUUCCUAUUCGAACAAUUCCACUGGUUCAAGUUAGUUUCCGGAACUUGUGGGCUCAAGCUAUUGAGCAUAUGGGUAUGGUGUAGGUUAAGUGGGUGUUUAUGCAUUGGAAUUGAAUUGGGAUCACUUGGAGGUUUGUUGGUGACCAAGGCUUGAUUUGGGGCUGUUUGAUUGAGCUUGGAGGGACUGUAAUUUUGCAUUGUGAGGCUGCCUUGGGUGAAUUAAGUGAUCGGCCAAGAUGCAGGUCAAGAGGCUCCUCGCUAGGCGUCUGGAUCCUGGAAAGCGAAGUA